rnacentral:rRNA from 1 species
CCUACGGGAGGCAGCAGUAGGGAAUAUUGGACAAUGGGUGCGAGCCUGAUCCAGCCAUGCCGCGUGCAGGAAGACGGCCUUCUGGGUUGUAAACUGCUUUUGCCAGGGGAUAAAAAGUCCCUGCGGGGAAAAUUGAAGGUACCUGGUGAAUAAGCCACGGCUAACUACGUGCCAGCAGCCGCGGUAAUACGUAGGUGGCAAGCGUUGUCCGGAUUUAUUGGGUUUAAAGGGUGCGUAGGCGGCCCUGUAAGUCAGUGCUGAAAUAUCCCGGCUUAACCGGGAGGGUGGCAUUGAUACUGCAGGGCUUGAGUACAGAUGAGGUAGGCGGAAUUGACGGUGUAGCGGUGAAAUGCAUAGAUAUCGUCAAGAACACCGAUAGCGAAGGCAGCUUACCAAGCUGUAACUGACGCUGAGGCACGAAAGUGUGGGGAUCAAACAGGAUUAGAUACCCUGGUAGUCCACGCUGUAAACGAUGAGUGCUAGGCGGUGGAGGAUUUUGACCCCUUCGCUGUCGAAGCUAACGCGUUAAGCACUCCGCCUGGGGAGUACGGUCGCAAGACUAAAACUCAAAUGAAUUGACGG